UUGAGUUGAAAAAAAAAAGGGGUUAGAAUUUUGAGCGAUUUUGGUUGGAAUUUUCGGAGCUGAAAUCGUUAGAGUUUUGAGUAUUGGAGAGAUUUUAAGGGUUGAAGUUUUGAACAGUAAAAAAUCGUGGGUUAAGAAGAACAGUUGAUAUAAUUGUGAGAGAGUGUUCUGUUCCUCCCUCCGCUCGGUCUAAAGAAAUUCACGGACAACAGCGAUAUUCCGUCUGAGGGUGGAAGUCCGUUCGCGAUCGUUUGGUGGAAGUCGACGCUCAUCUCGCUCGUCGUUCCAGUUUGCAGCUUCCGAACAGGUAAACUUCCCUGCCUCUUACUAUUUUCUCGUUCUUCUGUUUCAAAAUGUUUCUUCGUCGCUUUGUGCUUUGAAUGCUGCUGGCUGGUCUGUCGCUGUUAGUUCCGGUAUUGUUGGAGGUGUGCGAAUCGACUUGACAGAAUACAUGUCAUGUUUCGACUGCUAUAAAAGUAAAAAAAUAAAAAAUAAAAAAUAAAAAUGAACGAAACAUUUUGGAGAAUGCUCUUCCUGUGUCGAUUCCUUCAGGUCUCUCUUCGCUAAUGUGAUUGUUGUAGUAUGGCUGGUUUCGCUGAGUUUACUCAUCUUCAUGUUGUUCUCCGCUUCUCUUUCUGAGUCGUGUGAUGUUACCCGUCUACUGUUUAUCCUUUGGCUUCCCUCCCCUUCAUCUAAACCUUUGUUAUGUUUUCUGCAAAUUCGUGAAGUGCUGCAGCCUCUAGCUUUCAUCGUUUUCAUUACUAGUUCACGCAAUCUGUAUUCCCUGCAUUCCCUUUGUGAUCUGAACUCUGAAAUUUAUGGUUUAUUAGCUUGAGGUUAUCACAUUAAUUGCAUGAUCAUAAUGUGUUGAUGUGGAGUUUCGUUAUACAAGUUCGUCGUGUUAUAGUUGUUCAAUUUGGUCCCGUUUCUGUCAUGCUCGCUAUCUGUCUUUGUGUUGGAGCUUUGGUAGUCUGUACUGUUUCUUGCAAGCUACUCAUUACGGAAUACCAGCCAGGCUUGUUCAAUGCCUUGUUUGGCUCCUGUGAGUUUGGCGUUCAUCGCUUUCAAAUUAUAAGUGAGUUUGAACUAUCUGUGGUUCGGGUCAGAUUCUUAUGUUCAUUUGGUUUGGUUUAAACUUUUGGAGAUCUCACCUGAUGUUGGUAGCAAAUUUUACGUAUAGUUGAGGACGAAAGAGCAUAGUUGUCAAUUUGGUGAUUUCAGGCUACUGUUCGUUUGCUACUUCAGCAUAAUGCAAAUCCCUUGAAUAUUAAUUUAUUCACGUUUUGGAAUGUUUUAUUACUCGCUGUUGGUAUUUGGUAUGACUUUUGCAUGUUAGGAAAUCUAAUGAGUCUUAAAUGUUAGUGUGUUAGCUAAUCUAUUCGGCCUUCUUCAGAAACGUAUGUUUAUUUAUUUUGUUUCAUUCGAAAUACAUCUGAUUUAUUUUGUCGUUGUGUAUGCUAAUUCAUUUCUACUUUGUUGCAUGGAAAAUUUUCUCUCGAGUCCAUUUUGGGACUCCACUUCUUCCUUGCAUUUUGGAAGAGCCGUAAAGGCUCAAAAUCUUAUCGAGUCAAGCCUUGAAACCGACGGAGAGAUGCCGAAGAUUGAAGGACUUGAAGAAAUCAAUUAAAAAUUUCAUCAUUUUACAUUCUUUGUAUUUUUAUUUGUAAUGGGCAUAAACCCUUGUAGUUUUCCUUUUUUUUUUCAUUCUUUUUUUUUUUCAUCUUUGUAUGUUUAGAUUAGGACAGGUACAAAAUGGGUCAAAUACCCAAAAGCAGGUGGGUCCAACAUUCGGUCAAGGCGGACAGAACCCGAAUUUGGACCCAGAAUCUCUCUCUCUCUCUCUCUCCCUCUCUCUUUAUUAUUUGCUUACGUGUUUGUUUUACUCGAAUGCCGUUAGUUGAAGGUUAGAAAGCUCCAAACCCCUUCGAACGCUUUUUUUGCUUUAUCAAACUAAAGA